AUUCACCAUUAAUCAGUUGCUAUUGUAUUUUGCACUAAGACAGAGACACAGGGUAGCGUUCGCGAUUUUGUUUGUUCGUUGCGGCAGCGACGUUUCUAAGUGAGGGAGAGGGAGUGCCCUAACUCUCAACCUUCGCAUCUUCCCAAAUCCGUUUCAUUCUCGUUAGGGUUUUGUUCCGAUUUUGAGACUGCGUUGCAAAUUCUACUCUUCAAUCAACCAAUCUCGUUUCAUCGGUGGAAGGGGAAACAAUGGAGGAGGUAAAGCAUAAAUCGAGGAAAGAAGAUUAUGAGGUGAAAGAAAGCGAGACGAAGAGGAGUCACCGUGAUCGUGAUCGAGAGCGUGUUAGAAAGGAGAGAAGCGAGGGGAGGCAUAGGGAUAGGGAGAAGAGGGAUCGUGAGUCGCGGAGACAUGAGAGGGAGAAGAGUACUGACUCUGAAGAUAGAGACAGGGAGAAGAAGCGCAAAGAUAAAGAUAAAUCGAAAGAUAAAGAGAGAGAAAAGGGUCGAGAUAAGAAAAGGGACAGAGAUAGGGAAGACAAGGAGAGGGAAAGGGCGGAACGAGCAAGGGAGAAAGAAAGAGAGAGGGAGAGAAAGGAGGAGAAGGAGAGGAUUAGAGAGAAAGAAAGGGAACGGGAGCGGGAAAAGGAAAAGGAAAGGAGGGAUCAUGAAAGAGAGAAGGAAAAGGAAAGAGAAAGAGAAAGAGGGAGGAGAGUACGUGACAGGGAGAAGCAUAGGGAUGAUGAUAGUGAACACAGUGAUAGUGAACCCAGGGAGAGAGAUAGGAAGCGGCAUAGGAAGGAGGAUGACGGUUACAAGGGGAGAGAGAGGGAAAGGAGCAGUGGCAAGUCAAACAGGAAAACUGAGGAACUUGAAGCAAGUCCAAGGAAAAAGAGUGAUGGAGAUGACUCAGAUACCAAAGAAAAGGAGAUAAAACCUACCCGUGAAGAGGAGAUGGAGGAUGAACAAAGGAGGUUGGAUGAUGAAAUGGAAAAGCGGAGGAGGAGAGUUCAAGAGUGGCAAGAGCUAAGAAGGAAGAAAGAAGAAGCAGAAAGAGAAAAGGGUGGUGAAGCAAGUGCUAUUGAGCUCGAGUCUGGAAAGACCUGGACACUUGAAGGGGAAUCGGAUGAUGAAGAUGGAACAGGUACUGGGAAGCUAAAUACAGAUAUGGAUGUAGAUGAAGAUGACAAAUCUGCUGAUAAGGAACCUGGGGACUCGAUGGUUGUAGAUGUUGAUAAUGGAGCAGUUGCAUCUGAUUUACAGAAUGGGGCUGCUGAUGCUUCUCCUGAUGAGGAAAUAGAUCCAUUGGACGCUUUCAUGAAUUCAAUGGUUCUUCCUGAAGUUGAAAAGCUGAACAAUGCUGUUACUUCGUCAUUUGUUGAUAAAGCUGCAGACUUAAACCCGAAGGAUAAAGGGGAUGAGCGAAGUAGUAGUGCACAUCCAAGGAAAGGUUCAAAUAAAUCUAUUGGCAGAAUAAUUCCCGGUGAAGAGUCUGACACUGAAUAUGCAGAUCCUGAAACUGAGGGGGAUGAUGUAGAUGAAGAUGAUGAUGAGUUCAUGAAAAGAGUGAAGAAGACAAAAGUUGAGAAGCUUUCUAUUGUUGACCACUCAAAGAUUGACUAUAUACCAUUCAGAAAGAAUUUUUAUAUUGAAGUGAGAGAGAUCUCGAAGAUGACUCCUGAAGAAGUUUCAGUAUACAGGAAGCAGUUGGAGUUGAAGAUACAUGGGAAGGAUGUGCCUAAGCCUGUAAAAUCAUGGAACCAGACUGGGCUGACUAGCAAAAUUUUGGAGACAAUAAAAAAACAUAACUUCGAAAAGCCUAUGUCUAUUCAAGCUCAGGCGCUGCCUACAAUUAUGAGUGGUCGAGAUUGCAUAGGUAUUGCUAAAACUGGGUCAGGUAAAACACUUGCUUUUGUUCUGCCAAUGUUGAGGCAUAUCAAGGAUCAGCCGCCAGUUGUUGCAGGGGAUGGACCUAUUGGGCUUAUCAUGGCUCCUACAAGGGAACUUGUUCAACAGAUUCACAGUGAUAUAAAGAAGUUUACUAAGGUACUGGGUAUCAGGUGCGUGCCUGUCUAUGGUGGUUCAGGUGUUGCUCAACAAAUCAGUGAGUUGAAACGUGGUACUGAGAUAGUGGUUUGUACUCCAGGUAGGAUGAUUGAUAUACUAUGCACCAGUAGUGGGAAAAUAACUAACCUGCGGAGAGUCACUUAUUUGGUUAUGGAUGAGGCUGAUCGAAUGUUUGACAUGGGCUUUGAACCUCAAAUCACACGAAUUGUUCAGAAUAUUCGGCCAGAUCGUCAAACAGUUCUCUUCUCUGCUACUUUCCCCCGCCAGGUUGAAAUUCUGGCACGCAAGGUUUUGAAUAAACCUGUAGAAAUACAAGUUGGCGGGAGAAGUGUUGUGAACAAAGACAUAUCACAGCUAGUUGAGGUGAGGCCAGAAAAUGAGAGGUUCUUUAGACUCUUAGAAAUACUGGGCGAAUGGUAUGAGAAAGGAAAGAUCUUGAUAUUUGUCCAUUCACAGGAGAAAUGUGAUUCUUUGUUCAAGGAUCUGCUCAGGCACGGUUACCCAUGUCUUUCUCUUCACGGGGCUAAGGAUCAGACAGACCGUGAAUCCACAAUUUCUGAUUUUAAAAGCAAUGUCUGCAAUUUGUUGGUUGCAACAAGUAUUGCUGCCCGGGGAUUAGAUGUCAAGGAGCUCGAAUUGGUGAUCAAUUAUGAUGUUUCAAACCACUAUGAAGAUUAUGUACAUCGUGUUGGGCGCACUGGCCGAGCUGGCCGUAAGGGUUGUGCCAUUACAUUUAUUUCUGAGGAAGAGGCAAAAUAUGCACCAGAUCUGGUGAAAGCCUUGGAGCUAUCUGAGCAGACUGUUCCCGAUGAUCUGAAAGCUCUUGCUGAUAGCUUUAUGGCGAAAGUCAAUCAAGGACUGGAGCAAGCGCAUGGGACUGGUUAUGGAGGAAGUGGCUUUAAGUUUAAUGAAGAGGAAGAUGAGGUGAGGAAAGCAGCAAAGAAAGCGCAAGCCAAAGAAUAUGGGUUUGAAGAAGACAAGUCAGAUUCUGAAGAUGAAGAUGAUGGUAUUAGGAAGGCAGGUGAUGUCUCACAGCAUCCUGCUCUUGCUCAGUUUCUUGCUGCCUCAAAAGUGAAUACUUCUGUGAUGCACACUCCCAUCUCAGCUGCCCAGCUCAUUCCAAAUGGUGGACUACCUGUUCCUUUGCCAAUUCUCCCGACUUCAACAGUCUUGCCUGGGACAGGGCUACCCCUUGCUACAACUGAUGGGGCAGCUCGAGCAGCAUUAGCUGCUAUAAACCUGCAGCACAACUUGGCAAAAAUACAAUCUGAAGCAUUGCCAGAGCAUUACGAGGCUGAGUUGGAAAUAAAUGAUUUCCCCCAGAAUGCUCGCUGGAAAGUCACACACAAGGAAACCUUAGGCCCCAUUUCUGAAUGGACUGGAGCUGCCAUUACCACCAGGGGGCAGUUUGUCAACCCUGGCAAAAUCCCAGGACCUGGGGAACGCAAGCUCUACUUGUUCAUUGAGGGUCCUAGUGAGCAAUCAGUUAAGAGAGCCAAAACAGAAUUGAAGCGUGUUUUGGAAGACAUCACAAACCAGGCUUUGCAACUUCCUGGUGGAUCUCAACCAGGCAAAUACUCUGUCGUAUAAGGGUCAACGUGAAGGCAAAAUGGGAAUCUGUUAAACACUCUUGUCUCGCGCCCCGAUCCGGGACAAACUGCUCAUAUAGUCUGCCUUUACCCAUUCAUGGUCAUACAGGUGGGUCUAAUGAGCCUACGCUUGCAUGUUCAAUAUUGCUCUAUCCACUGCGCUUGCUUCAUGGCUCUCUAAUGUGCUGAUCAUGGUGUGGCAUUUUUACGUCUACUUCCUGUUUGAUUUGAAGCAAACAUUCUCGAACUACUGGUUUUGCCUGGUUUUGUGAUUUUUGAUGCUAUUGUGGAUUUGUUUAUCUGAUGUCACGUCUAUCUCUCAGGUUUCGGUUUGGCGUUCUCUUGUCAUGUAGAGAAACAAGAUAUGAUGGGGAGAUCGCAUGAUUCGGAUAUUGAUGGCCUUGCCUAACUGCUAUGGUUUGGAUUUCUGCACAUGCUUAAGUUUACCAUAUCAUAACUAUGCUUAAUAGCCAGUUUAGGGCUCAUAGUGCUAUUAGGUUAUUGCGCUCUGCCCUAGUUUCGUUGAACUUUUAUGUUAUAAACUUUGAUUUGGUUUUCUUGAAGUUUUUUCAGGUAUUAUUGAUAGAAAAUUUAUUAAAUAUGCUGGACAGUCCUCAAUAUAAAGCAGAGAAGUGAUUAGUUAAUUUGUUUGUA